GAUGAACGCUGGCGGCGUGCCUAAUACAUGCAAGUCGAGCGAACGGACGAGAAGCUUGCUUCUCUGAUGUUAGCGGCGGACGGGUGAGUAACACGUGGAUAACCUACCUAUAAGACUGGGAUAACUUCGGGAAACCGGAGCUAAUACCGGAUAAUAUUUUGUACCGCAUGGUUCAAAAGUGAAAGACGGUCUUGCUGUCACUUAUAGAUGGAUCCGCGCUGCAUUAGCUAGUUGGUAAGGUAACGGCUUACCAAGGCAACGAUGCAUAGCCGACCUGAGAGGGUGAUCGGCCACACUGGAACUGAGACACGGUCCAGACUCCUACGGGAGGCAGCAGUAGGGAAUCUUCCGCAAUGGGCGAAAGCCUGACGGAGCAACGCCGCGUGAGUGAUGAAGGUCUUCGGAUCGUAAAACUCUGUUAUUAGGGAAGAACAUAUGUGUAAGUAACUGUGCACAUCUUGACGGUACCUAAUCAGAAAGCCACGGCUAACUACGUG
rnacentral:rRNA from 1 species